AACGAACGCUGGCGGCAUGCCUAACACAUGCAAGUCGAACGAGACCUUCGGGUCUAGUGGCGCACGGGUGCGUAACGCGUGGGAACCUGCCUUUAGGUUCGGAAUAACUCAGAGAAAUUUGAGCUAAUACCGGAUGAUGUCUUCGGACCAAAGAUUUAUCGCCUUUAGAUGGGCCCGCGUUGGAUUAGCUAGUUGGUGGGGUAAAGGCCUACCAAGGCGGCGAUCCAUAGCUGGUCUGAGAGGAUGAUCAGCCACACUGGGACUGGGACACGGCCCAGACUCCUACGGGAGGCAGCAGUGGGGAAUAUUGGACAAUGGGCGAGAGACUGAUGCAGCAAUGCCGCGAGAGUGAUGAAGGCCUUAGGGUUGUAAAGCUCUUUUACCCGAGAUGAUAAUGACAGUAUCGGGAGAAUAAGCUCCGGCUAACUCCGU
rnacentral:rRNA from 1 species